GUGUGUGUGUGUGUGUGUGUGUGUGUGUGUGUGUGUGUGUGUGUGUGUGUGUGUGUCCUACUCCUGAACAGCUCUAUGGUUUCACAUCACUGUCAUUGUGAGCAUCGGACUGCUGACUAUUCUCCUCAACUCCCUGCACUUCAACUCACCGUCACCCUGGAAAGAGGGGAGAGAGCACUUACUGGAUGAACUCGAACCAGGUUUCCAGGUUUGACAGCAGAUUGAUGGGUUCUUCCUGGAUUGGACUGAGUGAUCAAGAGAAGGAGGGGACCCUCAAGUGGGUGGAUGGUACCCCCAUGACCUCAAGUUGGAGACACGUUAAACCACGCGAUGACGGCGGAGCAAGAGACUGUGUCGUAGCAGGGG